rnacentral:rRNA from 1 species
UACGGAGGGAGCUAGCGUUGUUCGGAAUUACUGGGCGUAAAGCGCGCGUAGGCGGCGAAUUAAGUCAGAGGUGAAAGCCCGGGGCUCAACCCCGGAACUGCCUUUGAAACUGGCUCGCUAGAAUCUUGGAGGGGUCAGUGGAAUUCCGAGUGUAGAGGUGAAAUUCGUAGAUAUUCGGAAGAACACCAGUGGCGAAGGCGACUGACUGGACAAGUAUUGACGCUGAGGUGCGAAAGCGUGGGGAGCAAACAGG